rnacentral:rRNA from 1 species
GACGAACGCUGGCGGCGUGCCUAAUACAUGCAAGUAGAACGCACAGUUUAUACCGUAGCUUGCUACACCAUAGACUGUGAGUUGCGAACGGGUGAGUAACGCGUAGGUAACCUGCCUGGUAGCGGGGGAUAACUAUUGGAAACGAUAGCUAAUACCGCAUAAUAUUAAUUAUUGCAUGAUAAUUGAUUGAAAGAUGCAACUGCAUCACUACCAGAUGGACCUGCGUUGUAUUAGCUAGUAGGUGAGGUAACGGCUCACCUAGGCGACGAUACAUAGCCGACCCGAGGGGGUGGUCGGCCAAACUGGGACUGAGACACGGCCCAGACUCCUACGGGAGGCAGCAGGAGGGAAUCUUCGGCAAUGGACGAAAGUCUGACCGAGCAACGCCGCGUGAGUGAAGAAGGUUUUCGGAUCGUAAAGCUCUGUUGUAAGGGAAGAACGGGUGUGAGAGUGGAAAGUUCACACUGUGACGGUAUCUUACCAGAAAGGGACGGCUAACUACGUG